UCUCAGCAUCCCAUCUCCACUGUGUGAGAGCACAGCAGACAUUCCCAGCCAGCCAAUUGAGCUCAGCUGCCUGAGGUUUUUGUAUUCCUGGACAGUUUCCGUGCAAUUACUUGCAUGUUCAUCUUAAACCUAAGCAAUUGUGGGUUAUAUAAGGACUCUUCUACCUAGUACCAUCUUUUGGUUCAAUUAGCACCAACAUGGAGCCCUCCCACUGCUCAAAUCUGCACCACCUCGAAGAACAACUCUCCACAACUGAUCUCAGAAGCUGUGCUGCAAUUUUCUGGAUCUGUCUCAGCAAGCACUUCCAUUUUUUAAUCCGAUUGAAGAAAUUUGUCAUGUACUAGGAAAUACAAAAGGAAAAGAGAAAAUCAUCAAUCCAAAAUUCCAGCAGAUACUCAAGUCUGAGCCACUGCACAUCACUAGAACAAAUGGAGAAAGCAGAAAAAGUCUUGCUUUGUAACAUUAAAUGUGAUUGAAGACUGUACAG